rnacentral:rRNA from 1 species
CCUACGGGAGGCUGCAGUCGGGAAUAUUGCGCAAUGGAGGAAACUCUGACGCAGUGACGCCGCGUAUAGGAAGAAGUUUUUCGGAAUGUAAACUAUUGUCGUUAGGGAAGAGAAAGGACAGUACCUAAGGAGGAAGCUCCGGCUAACUACGUGCCAGCAGCCGCGGUAAUACGUAGGGAGCGAGCGUUAUCCGGAUUUAUUGGGUUUAAAGGGUGCGUAGGCGGAGCGUUAAGUCAGUGGUCAAAUUGAGGGGCUCAACCCCUUCCCGCCAUUGAAACUGGCGCUCUUGAGUGGAAGAGAAGUAUGCGGAAUGCGUGGUGUAGCGGUGAAAUGCAUAGAUAUCACGCAGAACCCCGAUUGCGAAGGCAGCAUGCCGGCUUCCUACUGACGCUGAAGCACGAAAGCGUGGGGAUCGAACAGGAUUAGAUACCCCUGUAGUC